UACAGAGGGGGCAAGCGUUGUUCGGAAUUACUGGGCGUAAAGCGUGCGCAGGCGGUUGUGCAAGACAGAUGUGAAAUCCCCGGGCUUAACCUGGGAAUUGCAUUUGUGACUGCACGGCUAGAGUGUGGUAGGGGAGAUCGGAAUUCCUGGUGUAGCGGUGAAAUGCGCAGAUAUCGGGAGGAACACCGGUGGCGAAGGCGGUUCUCUGGGCUUUACCUGACGCUGAGGAGCGAAAGCGUGGGGAGCGAACAGG
rnacentral:rRNA from 1 species